UACCAGCACCCCGAGUGGUCGGGACGAUUAUUGGGCCUAAAGCAUCCGUAGCCGGCCUUACAAGUCCUCCGUUAAAUCCAGCUGCUUAACAGAUGGGCUGCGGAGGAUACUAUAAGACUAGGAGGCAGGAGAGGCAAGCGGUACUCAGUGGGUAGGGGUAAAAUCCGUUGAUCCAUUGAAGACCACCAGUGGCGAAGGCGGCUUGCCAGAAUGCGCUCGACGGUGAGGGAUGGAAGCUGGGGGGAGCAAACCGG
rnacentral:rRNA from 1 species